rnacentral:lncRNA from 1 species
CCAUUUAAUUUUGUUUUUUCUUAUAUCAAUUCAUUUUCACAGAAAUCAAACACAAAUAUAUUUAUAUGACCAACAUAGCAUAUUCAACACAUAUUACCAAUAGUCAUGAACACAUAUGUAUCCAACACAUGUUACCAAUAGUAGCAAGUUUCAUCCGUACAAAUACAUAGUUUCAUCAAUAUUACACAGUUUCAUCCAUAGGUAGCAAGUUUCACAAGGUCAAAACAAAAACUAAAUACAAGCACUCCAUCAACCCAAGCUUCCGUGAUCUUAAGCAAAUCUGUAAAAUGGGAAAGAAGAAAGUUAGAAGAAGAAGAUUAUUAUGAUGCAACUAAAAUGUGAAGAUUAUUAUGAUGCAACUUAUAUCUGUAAAAUAGGUCAUUUUGGAGCUAAGUAUGGUUAUUAUGUCAUUUUUGAGCAUACUAUAACGACACACUACCAGGCAUCUUAUGCCCAGUCUUAUUCCUGCCAAUCUAUAGUCAUAUUUCUCCUUGCUUAUAUGUACUAAGGCCCUCUCUCUUUUGUAUGAGUGACCCUAUACCUUAUUCACAGUAAUAUAUAUAGGUGAAGCACACACUGCUGCAAACAAAUAUUAUGCAAGCACACUAAGUCAUUUUGAAGCUAGCUAAGCAUAUUAAGUCAUUUUGAAGGAAACAAUGCUAAGUAUAGGUCAUUUUAGAGCUUUCCUAGGUUAAAUAGGUCAUUUUGGAGCUAAUUAAGCUUAUUAUGUAAUUUUUCAACAAGCUAAGCAUAUUAAGUCAUUUUGGAGGAAAAAAUGCUAAGUAUAGUUUAGUUUAGAGCUAGCCUAGGUUGAAUAGGUCAUUUUGAAGCUAAGUAAGGUUAUUAUGUCAUUUUGGAGCUACCUAAGCAUAUGAAGUCAUUUAGGACCUAAAAUAUGUCAUUUCUUAAGCAUACUAUAUCAUUUUAGAGCUAGCUAAGCAUAUUAAGUCUUUUUUGAGGAAAAGAUGCUAAGUAUAGGUCAUUUUAGAGCUAUCCUAGGUUAAAUAGGUCAUUUUUAUGCUAGCUAAGCAUAUUUAGUCAUUUUGAAGGAAACAAUGCUAAGUACAGGUCAUUUUAGAGCGAUCCUAGGUUAAAUAGGUCAGUUUGGAGCUAAUUAAGAUUAUUAUGUAAUUCUUGAACUAGCUAAGCAUAUUAAGUCAUUUUGGAGGAAAAAAUGCUAAGUAUAGGUCAUUUUAGAGCUAGCCUAGGUUGAAUAGGUCAUUUUGAAGCUAAGUAAGGUUAUUAUGUCAUUUUGGAGCUACCUAAGCAUAUGAAGUCAUUUAGGACCUAAAAUAUGUCAUUUCUUAAGCAUACUAUAUCAUUUUAGAGCUAGCUAAGCAUAUUAAGUCUUUUUUGAGGAAAAGAUGCUAAGUAUAGGUCAUUUUAGAGCUAUCCUAUGUUAAAUAGGUCAUUUUUAUGCUAGCUAAGCAUAUUAAGUUAUUUUGAAGGAAACAAUGCUAAGUAUAGGUCAUUUUAGAGCUAUCCUAGGUUAAAUAGGUCAUUUUGGAGCUAAUUAAGCUUAUUAUGUAAUUUUUGAACUAGCUAAGCAUAUUAAGUCAUUUUGGAGGAAAAAAUGCUAAGUAUAGUUCAUUUUAGAGCUAGCCUAGGUUGAAUAGGUCAUUUUGAAGCUAAGUAAGGUUAUUAUGUCAUUUUGGAGCUAGCUAAGCAUAUGAAGUCAUUUAGGACCUAAAAUAUGUCAUUUCUUAAGCAUACUAUAUCAUUUUAGAGCUAGCUAAGCAUAUUAAGUCUUUUUUGAGGAAAAGAUGCUAAGUAUAGGUCAUUUUAGAGCUAUCCUAGGUUAAAUAGGUCAUUUUUAUGCUAGCUAAGCUUAUUAAGUUAUUUUGAAGGAAACAAUGCUAAGUAUAGGUCAUUUUAGAGCUAUCCUAGGUUAAAUAGGUCAUUUUGGAGCUAAUUAAGCUUAUUAUGUAAUUCUUGAACUAGCUAAGCAUAUUAAGUCAUUUUGGAGGAAAAAAUGCUAAGUAUAGUUCAUUUUAAUGCUAGCCUAGGUUGAAUAGGUCAUUUUGAAGCUAAGUAAGGUUAUUAUGUCAUUUUGGAGCUACCUAAGCAUAUGAAGUCAGUUAGGACCUAAAAUAUGUCAUUUCUUAAGCAUAUACUAUAUCAUUUUAGAGCUAGCUAAGCAUAUUAAGUCUUUUUUGAGGAAAAGAUGCUAAGUAUAGGUCAUUUCAGAGCUAUUCUAGGUUAAAUAGGUCAUUUUUAUGCUAGCUAAGCAUAUUAAGUUAUUUUGAAGGAAACAAUGCUAAGUAUAGGUCAUUUUAGAGCUAUCCUAGGUUAAAUAGGUCAUUUUGGAGCUAAUUAAGCUUAUUAUGUAAUUUUUGAACUAGCUAAGCAUAUUAAGUCAUUUUGGAGGAAAAAAUGCUAAGUAUAGUUCAUUUUAGAGCUAGCCUAGGUUGAAUAGGUCAUUUUGAAGCUAAGUAAGGUUAUUAUGUCAUUUUGGAGCUAGCUAAGCAUAUGAAGUCAUUUAGGACCUAAAAUAUGUCAUUUCUUAAGCAUACUAUAUCAUUUUAGAGCUAGCUAAGCAUAUUAAGUCUUUUUGAGGAAAAGAUGCUAAAUAUAGGUCAUUUUAGAGCUAUCCUAGGUUAAAUAGGUCAUUUUUAUGCUAGCUAAGCAUAUUAAGUCAUUUUGAAGGAAAAAAUGCUAAGUAUAGGUCAUUUUAGAGCUAUCCUAGGUUAAAUAGGUCAUUUUGGAGCUAAUUAAGCUUAUUAUGUAAUUCUUGAACUAGCUAAGCAUAUUAAGUCAUUUUGGAGGAAAAAAUGCUAAGUAUAGGUCAUUUUAGAGCUAGCCUAGGUUGAAUAGGUCAUUUUGAAGCUAAGUAAGGUUAUUAUGUCAUUUUGGAGCUACCUAAGCAUAUGAAGUCAUUUAGGACCUAAAAUAUGUCAUUUCUUAAGCAUACUAUAUCAUUUUAGAGCUAGCUAAGCAUAUUAAGUCUUUUUUGAGGAAAAGAUGCUAAGUAUAGGUCAUUUUAGAGCUAUCCUANNNNNNNNNNGUGAAGUCAUUUAGGAGCUAAACUAUGUCAUUUCUUAAGCAUAUUAUGUCAUUUUAGAGCUAGUUAAGCAUAUUAACUAAUUUUGGAGGAAAAGAUUCUAAGUAUAAGUUAUUUUUAAACUAGCUAAGCAUAUUAAGUCAUUUUGGAGGAAAAAAUGCCAAGUAUAGGUCAUUUUAGAGCGAUCCUAGGUUAAAUAGGUCAUUUUGGAGCUAAUUAAGCUUAUUAUGUAAUUUUGAGCUAGCUAAGCAUAUUAAGUCAUUUUGGAGGAAAAAAUGCUAAGUAUAGGUCAUUUUAGAGCUAGCCUGGGUUGAAUAGGUCAUUUUGAAGCUAAGUAAGGUUAUUAUGUCAUUUUGGAGCUAGCUAAGCAUAUGAAGUCAUUUAGGACCUAAAAUAUGUCAUUUCUUAAGCAUAUUAUAUCAUUUUAGAGCUAGCUAAGCAUAUUAAGUCUUUUUGAGGAAAAGAUGCUAAGUAUAGGUCAUUUUAGAGCUAUCCUAGGUUAAAUAGGUCAUUUUUAUGCUAGCUAAGCAUAUUAAGUCAUUUUGGAGGAAAAAUGCUAAGUAUAAGUCAUUUUAGAGCUAUCCUAGGUUAAAUAUGUCAUUUGGGAGCUAAUUAAGUUUAUUAUGUCAUUUUGGAGCUAGCUAAGCAUGUGAAGUCAUUUAGGAGCUAAACUAUGUCAUUUCUUAAGCAUAUUAUGUCAUUUUAGAGCUAGUUAAGCAUAUUAACUAAUUUUGGAGGAAAAGAUUCUAAGUAUAGGUCAUUUUUAAGCUAGCUAAGCAUAUUAAGUCAUUUUGAAGGAAAAAAAUGCUAAGUAUAGGUCAUUUUAGAGCUAUCCUAGGUUAAAUAGGUCAUUUUCGAGCUAAUUAAGCUUAUUAUGUAAUUUUUGAGCUAGCUAAGCAUAUUAAGUCAUUUUGGAGGAAAAAAUGCCAAGUAUAGGUCAUUUUAGAGCUAGCCUGGGUUGAAUAGGUCAUUUUGAAGCUAAGUAAGGUUAUUAUGUCAUUUUGGAGCUAGCUAAGCAUAUGAAGUCAUUUAGGACCUAAAAUAUGUCAUUUNNNNNNNNNNUAUAGGUCAUUUUAGAGCUAUCCUAGGUUAAAUAGGUCAUUUUUAUGCUAGCUAAGCAUAUUAAGUCAUUUUGAAGGAAAAAAUGCUAAGUAUAGGUCAUUUUAGAGCUAUCCUAGGUUAAAUAGGUCAUUUUGGAGCUAAUUAAGCUUAUUAUGUAAUUCUUGAACUAGCUAAGCAUAUUAAGUCAUUUUGGAGGAAAAAAUGCUAAGUAUAGGUCAUUUUAGAGCUAGCCUAGGUUGAAUAGGUCAUUUUGAAGCUAAGUAAGGUUAUUAUGUCAUUUUGGAGCUACCUAAGCAUAUGAAGUCAUUUAGGACCUAAAAUAUGUCAUUUCUUAAGCAUACUAUAUCAUUUUAGAGCUAGCUAAGCAUAUUAAGUCUUUUUUGAGGAAAAGAUGCUAAGUAUAGGUCAUUUUAGAGCUAUCCUAGGUUAAAUAGGUCAUUUUUAUGCUAGCUAAGCAUAUUAAGUUAUUUUGGAGGAAAAAUGCUAAGUAUAGGUCAUUUUUAUGCUAGCUAAGCAUAUUAAGUCAUUUUUGAGCUAGGUAAGCAUAUUGAGUCAUUUUGGAGGAAAAAAUGCUAAGUAUAUGAUUAUGUCGCUAGUAUCCAUAUGGCAGAGAACCCGGGCCGACAUGACUAGUCAUAGAACCAAGGUGGCACAAACGUACAGGGACAGGCAUACAUGACCCAGCAAUGCACGUGUCGGUCAUCAGCGAGUGCAACCAAGUCGUAGCAAGCUACAAGGACUUCGUGAUACACCGCGUGACAUUUCCCCGUAGGGACAGACACAGGAGCAAAGAAGGACACAUGCCGGUCAAUCCAUGUGUUCCGGAGCAGUAGCGAACUACCAUGGCUCAGUGGAAGCACUAGGAGGCAUUUCCCUAUAUGGAAGGCUACCAAAGGCACACGACUAGGUGUCGAAUCCCACACAUACAAUGCAUUUCAAACAUACACACAUUAUGCACGAUAUGUCUAGAUAUAUACAACAUGGCAUCACAACAAAACUCUAUUAAGAAAAACACUUGGGACACUUACCGUCAUCACGGAGGUGUAGGUGUAGUUGUAGGUGUAGGACCGGUCGCGCCAGUGGCAGACGGAGAAGGAUCGGUCGAUGCUUGUCCGGAGUUACGCUGCACCAAAGAUUAUUUCCAAUGUAUCGUUAGCAUGAUGCAACUCAAAUGUGAAGACUAGUAACUAAUGACCGUUCAAAUGAAACUCACCGUGCCCGCCGGAGCAAUGACUGGCAUCGGCGGAGGGGUCUGGCCGUUCUUCUCG